CUAAGGGAUAUGAGGCCAAGGCAGCUCAAGUGGCUCACAAAGCCUGUUACAAGCUCGUGAAGGACAUGCACUACAAGGCGCGCGUCUAGGGCUUUGUGUCAUAAACUCCUACCUACCUUAACACGAAGGUAGACAAGGCUGAUGCAAGAAACAUGAGGCUGACACGGGAACAAUACAUGCAGGUGACUUUAGAAUAUUAAUACCGAUUUUCUGAGAUUAAGUAUGCUUAAAAUGAUCUUCUUAUAUGUCAUAUACUUGAUGACAUGUAGGUGCCUCUGUAUUGAUGUGCCCCGAAUCUCCAGUGUUGGUCAGUGAUGGUGGACAAGUGGUGCGACCCCGAGUGCGAGAGACGCACAACGCUUGCCGAGAGCGGCGAUUGAUGAUGCCAGGCGCACCACACCAUCAAGGAAACCUUACCCUUGAUUAAUACGCUGCUAGAUGGUUCAAGGCAUGGGAUAUGGCCCACAAGGGCAAGACAAUUUUCGACGUCGACUUCAACCGGAGAACCAGCCCUCGGCGUACAGCAAUGCGGCAAUCCACAGUCGCAUCAAUGAGUACACAUUGAUGAAAAGGGAGGUCUAUGGACCACAGUAUGAUCCGAGCACCCGGCCCCUUGAUGGAGAAGUCAUCAUGAGGGUGGGAGGAGGCAAGAAGCAUGGGCGGUACUGGAUUGGCAACAACACACUUGAUAAGGCCGCACUCCCACUCUCUCAUAGAUUCAAGCGAGGAGCACGAACUCAAGCUUGGCCAUACGCCCUUGGCCGGACACUGCAUAGUCCUGGGUGGAGGCACUCUAGGUUAUUUUAGUUUUAUCCAUUAUUCAUUGAUUGUUACAUACGUUUGCUUUGCAUUGUAAAAUUAGGGUGGAAUAUUGUAGGCCCAGCAUGAAGAAGAGAGGAGGCUAUAGGAGCAGAUGGAAUAGAGGCUGGAGGCCGAGCGACAGAGGUCCGAAGCCGAACGGUAAGCUGAGCGGCAAAGGAUGGAGUAUAUGUUUCAAUGGAUGCAAAGUCUUGGCGAGAGGGUGGGUUUGCUUAUGCCAUCGAUGCUAUUCCCUGCUCCACCUCCUCCUACUGGCACUCUUAAUCAAUCGGCGGCAUCGAAUGAUGGGCCUCAUGACCCAGAGUUGUCGUCGUGGCCACAUCAGUGAGUUAUGAGUAUUUGUAUGGACAUAUUCUUAUAGACUUGCUUUCUAUGGAAUAUGGUUGUGGAUGAACAAUACUAAAGUUUAUUUGGACUUGUGCUUAUAGACUUGCUUUGUAUGGACUUUGUAUGGACAUGUGCAUUGGACU